rnacentral:rRNA from 1 species
AUUGAACGCUGGCGGCAUGCCUUACACAUGCAAGUCGAACGGCAGCAUGAUCUAGCUUGCUAGAUUGAUGGCGAGUGGCGAACGGGUGAGUAAUACAUCGGAACGUGCCCUGUAGUGGGGGAUAACUAGUCGAAAGAUUAGCUAAUACCGCAUACGACCUGAGGGUGAAAGUGGGGGACCGCAAGGCCUCAUGCUAUAGGAGCGGCCGAUGUCUGAUUAGCUAGUUGGUGAGGUAAAGGCCCACCAAGGCGACGAUCAGUAGCUGGUCUGAGAGGACGAUCAGCCACACUGGGCCUGAGACACGGCCACGACUCCUACGGGAGGCAGCAGUGGGGAAUUUUGGACAAUGGGCGAAAGCCUGAUCCAGCAAUGCCGCGUGUGUGAAGAAGGCCUUCGGGUUGUAAAGCACUUUUGUCCGGAAAGAAAUGGCUCUGGUUAAUACCUGGGGUCGAUGACGGUACCGGAAGAAUAAGGACCGGCUAACUACGUG